UUGCCUUUAAUGUAUAAUCUUUCCAUUAAUUGCUGUUAACCCUUUUGAAAAAUUAUUAUCUCUAAGCUACGUACAGUUUCCCCUCUGUACCUUUCUCAGUUCCUCAAUAUUCCAUUUGGCUAAGUGAUAAAUACACCAGUGGUUUCUAUGGAGCCCUUUGCAGACGUGAGUUGCAUUUUGAAAGUGGAUGUCCAUUGCGAUGCUUGCAAAAUGAACAUGGUGCAAGUUUUAAGUUCCGUAUGCG